rnacentral:rRNA from 1 species
AUUGCACGCUGGCGGCAGGCCUAACACAUGCAAGUCGAACGAGUGGCGGACGGGUGAGUAAUGGCUGAGAAACUGGCUGAUGGAGCGGGAUAAAUACUGGAAACGGUCGCUAAUAACGCAUACCCUAAGCUGGGCCCAGCUUGGAUUAGCGAGUUGGUGGGGUAACGGCUCACCAAGGCGACGAUACCUAGCUGGUCUGAGAGGAUGACCAGCAACACUGGAACUUAGACACGGGCCAGACUCCUACGGGAGGCAGCAGGGGGGAAUAUUGCACAAUGGGCGCAAGCCUGAUGCAGCCAUGCCGCGUGUAUGAAGAAGGCAUUCGGGUUGUAAAGUACUUUCAGCGGGGAGGCGUUACCCGCAGAAGAAGCACCGGCUAACUCCGUGCCAGCAGCCGCGGUAAUUC